GAAAGGGACAGUAUUGUUCGACAGUCUUUCAUAUUCGAGACGCGAUAGUGGAAACGUGCUAGCAAUCAGCAACGUUUGAGCAAUUAGUAAGAAGUGCUAGUUGCUAGAUAAAAUAUAAAAUCUGGUUAUUCGAAAGUUGACUUGCAAUUUUCCAUAAAAUGGAGUUGUUCGGGGAUGGGUCAUACGGCAACCGGAUAGAUUAUUUCACACGUGGAAAAUCCUCCCCUGAUGCACUUCGUGAUACAUAAAGGAGCUUAUUCCAGUAACACAAUUCUUCAUUAAUUCUCUUCCAUGCUGUUAUGGAGGAUAAAUUUUCUUUAAUUCGGGCUAACGGCGAUGAAAUCAGACCCCAACCAAAGGAAACAAAAAGGUCAUCCUAUCAAUAUCCCCGUCACCGACAAACUGUACCGCGAGGACACACAUUCACCAUAACAAACAGGAAGAUGGUGUGUCCGACAUGCCAAGGACCCUACGAACUCAGACACUAUAAGGUCUUCAAAGCGAAAUCGGGAACAAAACGCUUUGAACUUGUAAAAAGGACAUCACUCUGCACAAAUUGCCUGGACAGAGGAAAUUCUCUUACCCAAUGAUCUACGGGUUAGUGUCAUACAUGUGGACAACAACACCACACAUAUCUACACUGAGAACCAACCCACGUCAGUUCGCGAGUAUCAAGCGUCCGAUCAUCGAGCGGUCGGUCGUCGAGCGGCCGUUCAUCGGACGACCGAUCCACUAACAGACGAGCAUCACCUGGAUCAUUGACAUCGCGUUCGUCAUAUCGUUCGAAACGUACCACAAAAUCUUCGCAGAAAUCUCCUCCAUCAACUCCAAAAGGUAGGAGAUCCCUUCCUCAACACGAAUCUCGGUCAUCACGGACCAAAUGCACUGAAUCAAACUCAACGUCCAAUCCUCCACGAUCAGAAAAAAAAUGACUAGAAGAAACGAUGACAGCAAAAGGGACUGAUUUAACAAACAGAUCUCCAAACGGCCCACUAUAUCAUGAUCUGUUGGUCACAGCACAGAUCAAUAUUUUAAAUAAUAGGGCACAACCAAUCUGAGCCAGAGCUUUGCUAGACACUGGAUCUAGUAUGAACCUCAUGACCGAAGAGUUCGCAAACUCCCUCAGUAUAAAACAAAGGAAAUGCGCGGUUCCAAUCGGUGCCCUCGAUAACUUAACCACUAUCGCGAAACGCCACAUCACGGCCAACCUUACUUCAACUGACGGCGCAUACGAACGAACAUUAACGUUCCUUGUUAUCCCGACUAUUUCAACCUUAAUUCGAAGUGAAUCCAUCGAUUGUUCGACAUUUGAGAUACCCAGAAAUCUCAAAUUGGCCGAUCCACGAUUUCAUGUACCAGCCCCGAUCGAUGUUCUACUAAGCUCAGGUUCAAUAUUCGCCAGGCGAGCCUGAACUGCAUCUGCAAAAAACGCGAUUUGAUUAGGUAAUCGGGGCGAGUCCUACUUCGCAGGCCGUGACCAACAUAUUUCACGCAACCACGACAGAUAUACAAGCGGAUCUCGCCCGCUUUUGGUAAAUGGACGAGGGACCAUCCACCCUACAUUUAUCGGAAUUAGAACUACAAUGUGAGGAGCAUUUCCGAAACCAUGUCCAACGCACCAAGGAAGGGCGAUAGAUCGUCGCCCUGCCAUUCAAUGAGAAGUUUCCUUCAUUUGGGACGUCGAAGUCCGUUGCUAUGAGCAGGCUCGCCUCUCUUCAUUGCCGAUUCCAACGCGACAAACAAUUUGAAACCGCGUAUAGUACGGUGAUUCAAGAAUAUUUAGACCUGGGUCAUAUGACGAAGAUCACGACUGAUCACCCUCCUAGUAACCGGUAUUAUUAACCACAUUACGGCGUGAUCAAGGAAUCGAGCGACACUACGAAACUUCGGGUUAUGUUCGACAGAUCAGCCUUCAGCACCCCUGGAGUUUCCCUAAACGACACUCUCCAUACAAGACCGAAGUUACAAGAGGACCUGUUUGACAUUCUACUAAGAUUCCGCUCGCACCAGUAUGUCCUAACGGGCGAUAUUGAUAAGAUGUAUCGACAAAUCCUAAUACGCCCAGAGGACAGGAAAUAUCAACUAAUUCUGUGGCGUAAUUUCAAAGGUGAAUUCGAUACAUACCAACUCAACACCGUGACGUUCGGGUUAUCAGCAGCCCCAUACCUAGCCCUACGGUGCCUAAAACAGUUGGCAGACGACGAAGGACAGUUUUACAGCGAGACUUCUACGUCGAUGACGUCUUCACCGGAGCUGAUACGAAGGAAGUGGUAUUAUCAAACAAAUAAGAACUUACUCUCCAAUCGGCCGGCUUAAACAUCCGAGAAUGGGCCUCCGAUGCCAAGGACAUACUUCGAGGGCUAUCCGAAAAGGACAAAAACCGAAGAUUACAAUUGAGUGAGCUUCAAACUAUAAAAUCACUUGGCAUUUUUUGGGAUUCUCACAACGAUGCAAUCCUUUACUCAGUCGAGGUCACAGCUAACCCCUCCCGGGUUACUAAACGAUCAAUUAGUUCUGUGGCGGUACUCGAUAACAAAUACCGCUACUCGACACUAACUAGCCAACAGACACGAUAGCGCAGUUGUUAGCGCCUUAGCUUUCGAACGUUCGGGACCCGAGUUCGAUUCCCAGCGCCCGUAGUCCGAUUUUUCUUCUGCUUAUCAAAAAUAGAAGAAUAAUAGCAGUAACCCAGCAGCGACAUCUACAGCCUACAACAACAAUUAUCACGGACAACAUAUACCACUUCAGUUCUGUGAUCGCCAGAAUCUAUGAUCCACUAGGAUUGCUCACGCCAGUGAUUAUUAGAGCAAAAAUCUUACUGCAACGAGUCUGGGUAUUGAAGAUCGAUUGGGAUGAGUCCCUUCCAGCAGAUUUUCAUUCAGUAUGAAACCGAUAUUACAUCCAACUGCCAUUACUCAAUGAUAUUCGGUACCCUCGCAAGACAGUAAUAAGGUCAGCAAUGAACAUUGAAUUACACGGCUUUUGUGACGCCAGUGAGAGAGAAUACGGAGCAUGUAUGUACCUUCGCAGUAUUAACUCUCACGGACACAUCCAGACUAGACUACUCACGGCGCGAUCAAAGGUAGCGCCGCUAAAAUCACAGACCAUCCCAAGACUCGAACUAAGCGGAGCAUUGCUUCUCACCUCCCUAGUCCUCGGUAAAAGGAAAUCCUUAACGAUAGAUUUUUCUCGGAUCGUGUAUUGAACCGAUUCCACCAUCGUGCUCCAGUGGAUCAAAUCCUCGCCACACACGUUAAAAACCUUUGUGGCGAAUCGCGUAUCUGAGAUACAGAACAAAACCAACAUCGCCAACUGGCGUCAUGUGCCCACCGCCGACAACACAGCAGAUCUAAUCUUCUGAGGUCAGACACCCAAGGAAUUCCUGCGCCCGAGCAAUUGGAAAAACGGACCCGAGUGGCUUAAGCAGAAAGAAGAAAAUUGGCCGAUCUGGAUCCCAACACCACUGGGCGAAAUCCCGGAACAAAAAAAGACGAUCUGCCUAGUCAAGAACACCGUCGACCAUACUCUGUUAGAAAGAUAUUCGUCCUGGACAAAACUAAUAAGAGUCGCUCGGUGUCUCCGAUGGAGAUACAAACAAAACCAAGAUGCACAUCUCACCGUAGACGAAUUAACUUCGGCACAUAACAAGUUAAUACGAAUACUACAAGACAUGCAUUUCUCGAUGAAAUUCGUACGCUCCAGAAGGAUCGGGUCAAGGAUGUUGGAGGGAAACUCCACCCCUUAAGUCCCUUCAUCGACAAGGAGGGGAUACUACGAAUCGGGGGACGACUCAGUAACUCACCGAUACCCUUCCAACAAAAACACCCCAUUAUUUUACUGAAAUCGCCAGUAAUAAACAUAGAUCAGGAACACCGGAAUAAUCAUCAUUCAGGGACACACGCCACCUUAUACGCGGUCAGACAACGCCACUGGCUUGUCGACGGUCGUAGCCAAGUAUGGCGCACUACCAAAAAGUGCGUGCGAUGUUGCCGAGCCAACCCACCUCCAGUACCUGAUGGGAGAUCUUCCAGAGGCACGUAUUACCGAGUCGUGUCCCUUCACUAACAUCGGGUCGAUUAUUGCGGCCCAUUCUAUAUCAAGGAACGAAGGGAUCGCAACCGACGCAAGAUCAAGGUUUACGUCGCCAUAUUCGUAUGUCUGGCGACCAAAGCUGCUCACAUCGAGUUGGUGAGUGAUCUUACAUCCGACGCAUUCCUGGCCACCCUCUGCCGAUUCAUAGCUCGGCGAGGAUAUUUCGCGACAAUUCUUUCAGACAACGGCACCAACUUCGUAGGAGCUAACAGGGAAUUGAAGGAACUCCGGAGCCUUCUGCGAUCCGACGACCAUCAAGAAAGGAUGCAGACCUUUCUAGCUGACCGGCAAAUACAAUGGCGUUUCAAUCCUCCUAAUUCGCCACACUUUGGCGGCAUAUGGGAAGCCGCGGUAAAAUCAUUCAAAUGCCAUCUCAUCCGCAUCGUCGGCACGGAACUCUUAACCUUCGAACAUCUCAACACCCUUGUGAUUGAGAUCGAAGCCAUCCUCAACUCCCGUCCACUCAAUCCGACCUCGUCUGAUUUAAAGGAUCUCCCUGUCCUCACUCCCGACCACCUCCUAAUCAGCGAUACUCUCACUAACAUACGUGAUCGAGAUUUCAGAGCUACUCCAUCAUGUCGGUUAACCAGCUGGCAGCGUAUCAACCAACUGAAAUAGCACUUCUGGAGCCGCUGGCAUCGCGAAUAUCUCACCGAGUUGACCAGCCGUGAGAAGUGGAAUAAGGGCAACCACAAAAUCCGCAAAGGCACCAUUGUCAUUAUCCGGGAGGAUAAUGUCCCAUCAAUGCAGUGGCCCUUAGGCAGCGUAAUCAAGGUCCUCCCCGGAGCCAAUGGAAUAAUACGGACAGCUACCGUACAGACGUCAGCGAGCAUCCUGGAUCGCGGUGUCAAACGACUAGUCCCCCUGCCCUGCCAACCAGAUUCAGACCGAGUCGAACAAUCCCAUCGAGCGAGCGAGGUGGAGGAGAUGUGCACCUGACCCAUCUCUACAGAUUUUUGAUCAGUGCCCUCUCAACGGGGGGAGGAUGUUCCGCCGCGCAAUACAUCUGCACUCCAUCCCGCGCGGCUUGACAGCCAACGGUCUACGUGCC